GACGAACGCUGGCGGCGUGCUUAACACAUGCAAGUCGAACGGAAAGGCCCUGCUUUUGUGGGGUGCUCGAGUGGCGAACGGGUGAGUAACACGUGAGUAACCUGCCCUUGACUUUGGGAUAACUUCAGGAAACUGGGGCUAAUAUCGGAUAGGAGCUCCUGCUGCAUGGUGGGGGUUGGAAAGUUUCGGCGGUUGGGGAUGGACUCGCGGCUUAUCAGCUUGUUGGUGGGGUAGUGGCUUACCAAGCCUUUGACGGGUAGCCGGCCUGAGAGGGUGACCGGCCACAUUGGGACUGAGAUACGGCCCAGACUCCUACGGGAGGCAGCAGUGGGGAAUAUUGCACAAUGGGCGGAAGCCUGAUGCAGCAACGCCGCGUGCGGGAUGACGGCCUUCGGGUUGUAAACCGCUUUCGCCUGUGACGAAGCGUGAGUGACGGUAAUGGGUAAAGAAGCACCGGCUAACUACGUG
rnacentral:rRNA from 1 species